GCCUCUGUCCCUUUGAGACAUAAAACGCUGAAGUCCAAAGAUUCCCCAACAUCCGUCCAAGGGGUCAUUGGCCCAUACAAUGUGGAAAUCAAGAGAGAAGAGUGUAAGCCAGGAGAAACAGGAGACAGGAGUGAGCCAAGCAACAGGUCCUCUUCACCCUGCUGGCCAGUAACUGCACACUUCUCCUGUGACAGAAGAAUAGCACUGGCCUGAAACAAAUCCGACAGCAGCACAGCAGGGUCUCUCACUGAACCUGGAGCUUGCUGAUUGAACGAGACUGGUUGACCACAAAGCCCCAGAGAGCCUGUUGACUUUGCAUCCACAGCCCUGGGAUUAAAGAUUCAGGCAACCAGGCUUAGCUUUUCCAUGGGUGCUGGGGAAUCUGGAUUCAACUCCUACUGCAAGAACUUUAGCAAAUGAAGCACCCCCCCAGCCCUACAAACUGGUCCUUUUCUUUCUGAAUUCCUUUUUCAGGGACUGAAUUCCUUCUUGACAGUAAAAGGGGCUUUCUCCAAGUUAUUCGUGGAAGAGAAGACACCAGACAGCCAUCAAACAGGUGAUAGCCUGGCCUGUUUGAGCCCAUCACUGUCUGCUAAUAGUCGUCAGCAUUUGGGGAGAAUAUUUUAUCUAAAAUUGCAACAGUAAUCAAAGAAUGCAAUUUUCCUUUUCUAUUGUUGGCUUUUAUGUAGGGAAAACAACCACACAUCUUGCAGAGUCAACUGAAUAAGAAUCUUCAAAAUAUAAAGAGCUAGUUUUCUGCAUCACAAAUUUAGUAUUAAGAGAGAUACAGCUCAAGGGCUGGGGUUGUACUCGCCUGGUACAGGGCCAGCCCAGCAUAGAACUCAGCACCCAAUCAACCAGGGAUGCUAGUACACACCUGUGAUGCCAGCACUUGGCAGGAAGAGGCCAGAUCAGUCCAAGACACCCUCAGCUAUACAGGAAGUUCAAGUACAGCCCAUGAUACAUGAGGCCGUGUCUUAGAAGAACAAAAGGCAGAGGAAAUAGAUGGGAGGGAAAAGAGGAAGAAAGAGAAGAGGAGGAGGCGAUGGUGGAGGAAGGUGGAGGGCUCCUUAACAAAGAUUAUUGUUUUACCGGUUACCUAUCCAUCUCUUAAUUGAAUGUUUUGUUAUUGCUACUGCCGAUACAGUGUGAUUACAAUACAGACACAGCAAGUCUAAAACCCAAAUCACUGAAA